rnacentral:rRNA from 1 species
UACAGAGGGUGCAAGCGUUAAUCGGAAUUACUGGGCGUAAAGCGUGCGUAGACGGUUAUGUAAGUCGGGUGUGAAAGCCCCGGGCUCAACCUGGGAAUUGCAUUCGAGACUGCAUAGCUAGGGUGCGGAAGAGGGAAGCGGAAUUUCCGGUGUAGCGGUGAAAUGCGCAGAUAUCAGGAGGAACACCGACGGCGAAGGCAGCUUACUGGGCCGAUACUGACGCUGAGGAGCGAAAGCGUGGAGAGCGAACAGG